AGGGUUUGAUCAUGGCUCAGGAUGAACGCUAGCGGCAGGCUUAACACAUGCAAGUCGAGGGGCAGCGGGGUGUAGCAAUACAUCGCCGGCGACCGGCGCACGGGUGCGUAACACGUAUGGAAUCUGCCCUGUACUGGGAGAUAGCCCGGAGAAAUCCGGAUUAAUAUCCCAUAAUAUGAGAGGUGGCAUCACCUUUCUUUGAAAGCUCCGGCGGUACAGGAUGACCAUGCGCACGAUUAGCUAGUUGGUGAGGUAACGGCUCACCAAGGCUACGAUCGUUAGGGGGCCUGAGAGGGUUAUCCCCCACACUGGUACUGAGACACGGACCAGACUCCUACGGGAGGCAGCAGUGAGGAAUAUUGCGCAAUGGAGGAAACUCUGACGCAGCCAUGCCGCGUGCAGGAAGAAGGCGCUACGCGUUGUAAACUGCUUUUAACCGGGAAGAAACCCCAGGACGUGUCCUGGGUUGACGGUACCGGAGGAAUAAGCACCGGCUAACUUCGUGCUAGCAGCCGCGGUAAUACGAAGGGUGCAAGCGUUAUCCGGAUUCAUUGGGUUUAAAGGGUGCGUAGGCGGGGCAAUAAGUCAGUGGUGAAAUCCUGCGGCUUAACCGUAGAAUUGCCAUUGAUACUGUUGCUCUUGAGUAGGCUCGACGUGGGCGGAAUGUGCCGUGUAGCGGUGAAAUGCUUAGAUAUGGCACAGAACACCGAUAGUGAAGACAGCUCACGAGGGCCAAACUGACGCUGAGGCACGAAAGCGUGGGGAUCGAACAGGAUUAGAUACCCUGGUAGUCCACGCCGUAAAC
rnacentral:rRNA from 1 species